rnacentral:lncRNA from 1 species
UAGAAUCUGGUUUUACACUAGGGUCAUUUGUAUUAGCUACAGAAGAGGACCUUGUCAAAUUAGGAUUUAGGAUGGCAGAAAGAAGGUUACUGCAGGAAUGGAUUAGGGCUCAACCGGUUGUUAAUGUUCCAGCUGGUAUGUUGCUAAUAUGUUACCCCACAGUCUUUAUUGAGUAUUGGUGAGUCAGUUAUUGUUUCAUCCAGAAUAAAUAGCUGCACCACUACUAGUGUAAUCAGUUUCAAGAAUCUGCGAGUUGAUAAUAUUAUAUCAGAGCAGAGGCAGCAGCAUGGACCUAUUUGUGGUCAACAAUUGACACAAAAGUUAAAGUCAGGAGAGCGGAUUGAAAAAGCAGAAAUGUUAUUUCUAACAAAAGUUUGUGAGCGUUACCUGAUGAACAAUUGUGCUUAAAAAGAUAGGCCAAAUGCUACUGAGAAGCAGGACUUAUCAAAGUCAAUUAUUGACUGUUUUCCUAUCUUACACGAUGGAACAGCAAGUGGUUAUGGAUACUUCUUUGAUAGAAAAUCAUUUAGUGGAAAGUUGGAAUACUUUGUUCGAAGCCGGCGUUCAGAUUGUAAAGAUAUAACUACAUUGUGGAAACAUUCACCAUA